rnacentral:rRNA from 1 species
AUUGAACGCUAGCGGGAUGCUUUACACAUGCAAGUCGAACGAGUGGCGGACGGGUGAGUAAUAUAUCGGAACGUGCCCAGUAGCGGGGGAUAAAUACUCGAAAGAGUGGCUAAUACCGCAUACUUUUGGAGCGGCCGAUAUAGGAUUAGCUAGUUGGUGGGGUAAUGGCUCACCAAGGCCACGAUCCGUAGCUGGUAUGAGAGGACGACCAGCCACACGGGGACUGAGAAACGGACCAGACUCCUACGGGAGGAAGCAGUGGGGAAUUUUGGACAAUGGGGGAAACCCUGAUCCAGCCAUGCCGCGUGUAUGAGAAGGCCUUCGGGUUGUAAAGUACUUUUGGCAGAGAAGCGGUAUCUGCAGAAUAAGCACCGGCUAACUACGGGCCAGCAGCCGCGGUAAUAC